UACGUAGGGUGCGAGCGUUGUCCGGAAUUAUUGGGCGUAAAGAGCUCGUAGGCGGUUUGUCACGUCUGCUGUGAAAUCCCGAGGCUCAACCUCGGGCCUGCAGUGGGUACGGGCAGACUGGAGUGCGGUAGGGGAGAAUGGAAUUCCUGGUGUAGCGGUGGAAUGCGCAGAUAUCAGGAGGAACACCGAUGGCGAAGGCGGAUCUCUGGGCCGAUACUGACGCUGAGGAGCGAAAGCGUGGGGAGCGAACAGG
rnacentral:rRNA from 1 species